rnacentral:misc_RNA from 1 species
UAACCUGGAUCUGGGCGAGGUG